GACGAACGCUGGCGGCGUGGAUUAGGCAUGCAAGUCGAACGGUAUCAUCCUUUCGGGGGUGAGAGAGUGGCGAACUGGUGAGUAACACGUAGGUUAUCUACCCUCAAGACGGGGACAACCCAGGGAAACUUGGGCUAAUACCCGGAUGUGAGCAACUUUUAGUUGUUUGAAAGGUGGCGUAAGCUGUCGCUUGGGGAUGAGCCUGCGUCCUAUUAGUUAGUUGGUGAGGUAACGGCUCACCUAGGGCAAUGAUAGGUAGGCGGCCUUAACGGGUGGUCGCCCACACUGGGAUUGAGAUACGGCCCAGACUCCUACGGGAGGCAGCAGUCGAGAAUAGUCUACAAUGGUCGGAAGACUGAUAGUGCGACGCCGCGUGAACGAUGAAUCCCUUCGGGGUGUAAAGUUCUUUUAUAUGUGAGCAGUGCUUCUUAUAUUAACAGUAUGGGGAGAGAGAUAUUAGCAUAUGAAUAAGCAACGGCUAACUCCGUGCCAGCAGCCGCGGU
rnacentral:rRNA from 1 species